AUUGAACGCCGGCGGCAUGCCUUACACAUGCAAGUCGAACGGUAACAGGUCUUCGGAUGCUGACGAGUGGCGAACGGGUGAGUAAUACAUCGGAACGUGCCUAGUAGUGGGGGAUAACUACUCGAAAGAGUGGCUAAUACCGCAUGAGAUCUACGGAUGAAAGCAGGGGAUCGCAAGACCUUGUGCUACUAGAGCGGCCGAUGGCAGAUUAGGUAGUUGGUGGGAUAAAAGCUUACCAAGCCGACGAUCUGUAGCUGGUCUGAGAGGACGAUCAGCCACACUGGGAAUGAGACACGGCCCAGACUCCUACGGGAGGCAGCAGUGGGAAAUUUUGGACAAUGGGCGAAAGCCUGAUCCAGCAAUGCCGCGUGCAGGAUGAAGGCCUUCGGGUUGUAAACUGCUUUUGGACGGAACGAAAAGCCCCGGGUUAAUACCCUGGGGUCAUGACGGUACCGUAAGAAUAAGCACCGGCUAACUACGUGCCAGCCGCCGCCGUAA
rnacentral:rRNA from 1 species